CCCUUUCUUCUUCAGUGGUUAGAGAGUCUGGCUCCUAAUCUCGAGGUCUCGGGUUCGAGCCUCGCUGAAGUCG